UACGGAGGGGGCCAGCGUUGUUCGGAAUUAUUGGGCGUAAAGAGCUCGUAGGCGGUUUGUCGCGUCUGCUGUGAAAUCCCGAGGCUCAACCUCGGGCCUGCAGUGGGUACGGGCAGACUAGAGUGCGGUAGGGGAGAUUGGAAUUCCUGGUGUAGCGGUGGAAUGCGCAGAUAUCAGGAGGAACACCGAUGGCGAAGGCAGAUCUCUGGGCCGUAACUGACGCUGAGGAGCGAAAGCGUGGGGAGCGAACAGG
rnacentral:rRNA from 1 species